GGUUAAGCGACUAAGCGUACACGGUGGAUGCCCUGGCAGUCAGAGGCGAUGAAGGACGUGCUAAUCUGCGAUAAGCGUCGGUAAGGUGAUAUGAACCGUUAUAACCGGCGAUUUCCGAAUGGGGAAACCCAGUGUGUUUCGACACACUAUCAUUAACUGAAUCCAUAGGUUAAUGAGGCGAACCGGGGGAACUGAAACAUCUAAGUACCCCGAGGAAAAGAAAUCAACCGAGAUUCCCCCAGUAGCGGCGAGCGAACGGGGAGCAGCCCAGAGCCUGAAU
rnacentral:rRNA from 1 species